UAGUCCGGUAAGAUUCCGGAGUCCAUGUUUUAUGGAUAACGCUUAUACUUAUGACGGAGUUACGAGAAGCCGUUGCUUCACUCUGAAAUCAUAAGCGCAAGCCAAGCGCGAAAGACUUGGAA
rnacentral:ncRNA from 1 species